rnacentral:tRNA from 1 species
GAAGGUAUAGCUCAGUGGUAGAGUGCCUGCUUAGCAUGCAUGAGGUCCUGGGUUCAAUCCCUAGUACCUCCA